UACGUAGGGGGGCAAGCGUUGUCCGGAAUCAUUGGGCGUAAAGAGCGCGUAGGCGGCCCUGUAAGUCCGCUGUGAAAGUCAAGGGCUCAACCCUUGGAUGCCGGUGGAUACUGCAGGGCUAGAGUCCGGAAGAGGCGAGUGGAAUUCCUGGUGUAGCGGUGAAAUGCGCAGAUAUCAGGAGGAACACCGAUGGCGAAGGCAGCUCGCUGGGACGGUACUGACGCUGAGGAGCGAAAGCGUGGGGAGCGAACAGG
rnacentral:rRNA from 1 species